AACGAACGCUGGCGGUAUGCUUAACACAUGCAAGUCGAACGAACAAAAUUGGGGCUUGCUCCAAUUUUAGUGAGUGGCAAACGGGUGAGUAACACGUGGGAAUCUACCUAUCAGUACGGAAUAACAUUUGGAAACAGAUGCUAAUACCGUAUAUUCUCCAAGGAGGAAAGAUUUAUCGCUGAUAGAUGAGCCCGCGUAAGAUUAGGUAGUUGGUAGGGUAAUAGCCUACCAAGCCGACGAUCUUUAGCUGGUCUGAGAGGAUGAUCAGCCACACUGGGACUGAGACACGGCCCAGACUCCUACGGGAGGCAGCAGUGGGGAAUAUUGGACAAUGGGCGAAAGCCUGAUCCAGCAAUACCGCGUGAAUGAUGAAGGCCUUAGGGUUGUAAAGUUCUUUUAGUUGGAAAGAUAAUGACGGUACCAACAGAAAAAGCCCCGGCUAACUCCGUG
rnacentral:rRNA from 1 species